CCUAAAAUUUUGGGCUUUUAUAUCCAACAUUUAACCGUCCGUCUUAUAUAAAAUUUUUUUCUUAAUAUUUUUAUUAUUGUUAGAUGAUAAAAUAUAAAUAAUACUUUAUGUAUGACUUAUUUUUUUAUAAUUUUUUUAAAUAAGAUAAAUAGUUAAAUGCUAGACAUGGAACCU
rnacentral:pre_miRNA from 1 species